AUUAUACUCCCUCCGUCCGAAAAUACUUGUCAUCAAAAUGGAUAAAAAGGGAUGUAUCUAAAACUAAAAUACAUCUAGAUACAUCCCUUUUAUCCAUUUUGAUGACAAGUAUUUCCAGACGGAGGGAGUAUAUA
rnacentral:pre_miRNA from 1 species